AUGGUAGAGAUCACCAGAGGCAUGAGAGGAGCUGAAUGCUGGACAGACCAUGGAUUGGUUAGAGCGACUCUUCAAAUGCGCAUUGCGCCUCGCCAUCCAAGACGCGCCCAGACAGUUUGCACAUUUUACAACGUGAGUCGUCUUAGAGAUCCAUCUUAUUUGCAAACAUUCCAGUCCUGCCUGGAUGACAAGCUGUCUUCCAAGGGACCACUCACUGGAAGCUCAACCGAGAAAUGGAACCAGUUCAGAGAUGCAGUGAAGGAAACAUCAAAGGCAGUCCUAGGCCCAAAACAACGCAACCACCAGGACUGGUUUGAUGAGAACAACACUGCUAUUGAAGACCUAUUGAGCAAGAAGAACAAAGCCUUUAUGGAGUGGCAAAAUAACCCAAACUCUGCUCCUAAAAAGGACAGAUUCACGUCUCUCCAAACCAAGGCGCAGCGUGAGAUCAGGAAGAUGCAAGACAGAUGGUGGGAAAAAAAGGCAGAAGAAAUCCAGCACUUUGCUGAUACGAAAAACUACAAACAAUUUUUCAGUGCCCUCAAGACUGUCUAUGGGCCAUUAAAACCCACCACCACUCCCUUGCUAUCCUCUGACGGUGACAUUCUCAUAAAAGAUAAAAAAGGCGUCAGCAACAGGUGGAAAGAACACUUCAGUCAGCUUCUCAACCGAUCCUCUUCAGUCGACCAAAGCGCCCUUGUCCAGAUCCCCCAAAACCUCACCAUUGAACAACUUGACGUCCCUCCUUCAAUAGAGGAAGUCCAAAAAGCCAUUAAACAAAUGAGUGCAGGCAAGGCACCCGGUAAAAAUGGGAUCCCAACCGAGGUUUACAAGGCCUUAAAUGGAAAGGUGCUCCAGGCAUUCCACAUAGUGCUGACCAGCAUAUGGGAAGAGGAAGACAUGCCCCCAGAACUCAGAGAUGCCUCCAUCAUAACCCUAUACAAGAACAAAGGCUCACGAGCAGCCUGUGACAACUACAGAGGCAUCUUAUUACUCUCCACUGCUGGAAAGAUCCUCGCCCGUGUUAUACUCAACACACUCCUGUCAUCUGUUUCAGAGCAGAACCUGCCUGAAUCACAAUGUGGCUUCCGACCAGAGCACAGCACCAUCGACAUGGUCUUCACAGUGAGGCAAAUGCAGGAAAAAUGCCUUGAGCAGAACCUGAGUCUCUACAUUGUCUUCAUAGACCUGACAAAGGCAUUCGAUACAGUGAACAGGGACUCAUUGUGGGUGAUCCUCAGCAAGCUCGGUUGCCCAGCAAAAUUCGUCAAACUGAUCUAG
rnacentral:lncRNA from 1 species